AUGAUGAAGAAAGGAAUCAUUCUCCUAAUGUUGGUGGCUAUGUUUACUCUCUUUAGCCAAACCUAUGGAAGGAACAUUGACAAUCGUCCAGACUAUUGUAUUAGGGUAGUGAUGUUGCAAGGACUAUGUGGUGGGAGUGCAUGUGCUGAUGCAGUCAGUGAGAAAUAUCCAGGAGUCGAGAUUAGAGAUUGUUCUUGUCAUGAUACUCCAAUUAAGCUUGCCUUUUGUUCAUGUAACAUCAUUUGCUAG